CUGAUCCAGCAUGCGCGUGCAGGAUGAAGGCCUUCGGGUUGUAAACUGCUUUUGUACGGAACGAAACGGUUGCCUCUAAUAAAGGUGGCUAAUGACGGUACCGUAAGAAUAAGCACCGGCUAACUACGUGCCAGCAGCCGCGGUAAUACGUAGGGUGCGAGCGUUAAUCGGAAUUACUGGGCGUAAAGCGUGCGCAGGCGGUUAUAUAAGACAGAUGUGAAAUCCCCGGGCUCAACCUGGGACCUGCAUUUGUGACUGUAUAGCUAGAGUACGGUAGAGGGGGAUGGAAUUCCGCGUGUAGCAGUGAAAUGCGUAGAUAUGCGGAGGAACACCGAUGGCGAAGGCAAUCCCCUGGACCUGUACUGACGCUUCAUGCACGAAAGCGUGGGGAGCAAACAGGAUUAGAUACUCUGGAAGUCCCCGCCCUAAACGAUGUCAACUGGUUGUUGGGUCUUCACUGACUCAGUAACCAAGUUAACGCGUGAAGUUGACCGCCUGUGGAGUACGCCCCGCAGGUUGAAACUCAAAGGAAUUGAC
rnacentral:rRNA from 1 species